GGUAAAUGUAAAUUGUCCGGUGGCAAUUUUUAUGAAUUGUUCAGCAGUCUAAUGGCUUGGGGAUAGAAGCUGUUAUUGCAGGAAAUGUCUUGAACAGCAGGAAAUGCAAACUUGUAGUGUAUUCAAGGUUUUAAAAGACUUCUAAAGUUUGUAAUUUCCACUUUAAAAUGUCAGACUUGAUUUGCCCAAGCAAAAAAAAUGUAGAGUAAUUAUAAUCCACAUUUCCUGUUGCUGCAUGAUUAUUUUCCUGCUGUAGCAAACUGACUGGAAUUAAGAUACGGCAUCUGUAUGAUAUUUCAACUUCCUUCUAGUUUCACCAGUAUUAUAAUUCUUACAGGCUUCCUUUCUAGGGAAAAACAGAACAAUGUCUGACCCGUUGACUCAGUGUUCUUGGCAGUGCUCUUUCUGGACAGAAAAACUAAUCCAAAAGACAUUUUUAAAACGUCAUCGCAGGACCUGACCGUAUCAGCAGACUAUUAGGCUGCUCGUCUUGGGGUUUGUCACCAAGGUCUGCGUCCUAUAUGACACCCUGUUACCUAAAAUAGUAAAACAGGAAAUGAUUACCCUGUAUUUGAUUCACUGUUGAUAUGGAUUGAUAUUUAAUAAACAUUAUAAACUGGGUGGAUCGAGCCCUGAAUGCCGAUUGGCUGACAGCCGUGGUAUAUCAUACUACGGGUAUGACAAAACGUGUGUUUUUACUGCUCUAAUCAUGUUGGUAACCAGUUUAUUAUAGCAAUAAGGCACCUCGGGGGUUAGUGGUAUAUUGGCUAUAUACCACACCCCCUCGUGCCUUAUUGCUUAGUUAUUGUAUGUACAGGGAGACACAGACCGAUGCAUUCGCUUAGGGGAAGGGAAGCAGCAGUUAACCAUGUCACCUGUUAGUCUAUAAUUCUCUAUUGUAACUAAGUGCUGAUGUUUCUACCUUUGACCUGUUUAACUGACACUAUCAAAAUGUCUGCCAGUGUUAUGGUUAAAGUUUGGCUCCAGACCGGGGACACUGAUAACGUCUCUGUAACACCGUGUGAUUCUGGAGAGGCUGACGUUGUGACUUCCUAUAGCCUCUCUGGCUGCUGUUUCCAUAACAUGUUGGUGCUGUGUGAUUUAUAUUUAUAUAUAUAUAUAAGAGAUUUUCUCAGAAAAGGCCCCGUUAAGACAUUUGCUCUGCUUCUGAUCUGGAGGCGUUUCCCUGUUGCAACUUGUAAUAAAAACAGGAAUCAUUUUUUUUUGUUAUUGAUGUUAUCAACUGCUCUCCUUUUUUAAUCAUCUGGAAAUCCCCUUUAAAAUAGUGCACUACUUUUAACUGAAACCCUAUGGGUCCUAGCUGGUCAAAUUAAGUGCACUAGAUAGGGAAUAGGAUGGCAUUUGGGACUCUAAAUGUCAGAGACAAGAAGCAGAGAAGGUCAAACUAGCAGAAGGUCUGUGACUGCUUCCUGCCCGUGAUGAUUAAAGGACAAAAUGCUGCUAUUCCCAUUCCUCCCCACUUCUUAGAACGAGAUAAAGAGAGAGAAAAUAACAGAGAGAGAGAGAGAAAAAGAAAUAGAGAAGAAAGAAAGAAUUAAACAACAAAGCAAAAUGCUUUUAAAAUGCCAAUGAGGAUGAGGUGGUACAGCCUAUAGAUUCUACAGGAGGUAAAGGAUGAGGUGGUACAGCCUAUAGAUUCUACAGGAGGUAAAGGAGGAGGUGAUACAGCCUAUAGAUUCUACAGGAGGUAAAGGAUGAGGUGGUACAGCCUAUAGAUUCUACAGGAGGUAAAGGAGGAGGUGGUACAGCCUAUAGAUUCUACAGGAGGUAAAGGAGGAGGUGGUACAGCCUAUAGAUUCUACAGGAGGUAAAGGAGGUAAAGGAUGAGGUGAUACAGCCUAUAGAUUCUACAGGAGGUAAGGAUGAGGUGGUACAGCCUAUAGAUUCUACAGGAGGUAAAGGAGGAGGUACAGCCUAUAGAUUCUACAGUAGGUAAAGGAUGAGGUGGUACAGCAUAUAGAUUCUACAGGAGGUAAAGGAUGAGGUGGUACAGCCUAUAGAUUCUACAGGAGGUAAAGGAUGAGGUGGUACAGCCCAUAGAUUCUACAGUAGGUAAAGGAGGAGGUGGUACAGCCUAUAGAUUAUACAGGAGGUAAAGGAGGUAAAGGAUGAGGUGAUACAGCCUAUAGAUUCUACAGGAGGUAAAGGAGGUAAAGGAUGAGGUGGUACAGUCUAUAGAUUCUACAGGAGGUAAAGGAGGUAAAGGAUGAGGUGAUAGAGCCUAUAGAUUCUACAGUAGGUAAAGGAGGUAAAGGAUGAGGUGGUACAGCCUAUAGAUUCUACAGGAGGUAAAGGAUGAGGUGGUACAGCCUAUAGAUUCUACAGGAGGUAAAGGAUGAGGUGGUACAGCCUAUAGAUUCUACAGGAGGUAAAGGAUGAGGUGGUACAGCCUAUAGAUUCUACAGGAGGUAAAGGAUGAGGUGGUACAGCCUAUAGAUUCUACAGUAGGUAAAGGAUGAGGUGGUACAGCCUAUAGAUUCUACAGUAGGUAAAGGAGGUAAAGGAUGAGGUGGUACAGCCUAUAGAUUCUACAGUAUGUAAAGGAUGAGGUGGUACAGCCUAUAGAUUCUACAGUAGGUAAAGGAGGUAAAGGAUGAGGUGGUACAGCCUAUACAUUCUACAGUAGGUAAAGGAGGUAAAGGAUGAGGUGGUACAGCCUAUAGAUUCUACAGUAGGUAAAGGAAAUGAGGUGGUACAGCCUAUAGAUUCUACAGUAGGUAAAGGAGGUAAAGGACGAGGUGGUACAGCCUAUAGAUUCUACAGGAGGUCAAGGACGAGGUGGUACAGCCUAUAGAUUCUACAGUAGGUAAAGGAGGUAAAGGAUGAGGUGGUACAGCCUAUAGAUUCUACAGGAGGUAAAGGAUGAGGUGGUACAGCCUAUAGAUUCUACAGGAGGUAAAGG
rnacentral:lncRNA from 1 species